rnacentral:rRNA from 1 species
AUCAUUACCGAGUGCGGGCUGCCUCCGGGCGCCCAACCUCCCACCCGUGACUACCUAACACUGUUGCUUCGGCGGGGAGCCCUCUCGGGGGCGAGCCGCCGGGGACUACUGAACUUCAUGCCUGAGAGCGAUGCAGUCUGAGUCUGAAUAUAAAAUCAGUCAAAACUUUCAACAAUGGAUCUCUUGGUUCCGGCAUCGAUGAAGAACGCAGCGAACUGCGAUAAGUAAUGUGAAUUGCAGAAUUCAGUGAAUCAUCGAGUCUUUGAACGCACAUUGCGCCCCCUGGCAUUCCGGGGGGCAUGCCUGUCCGAGCGUCAUUGCUGCCCAUCAAGCCCGGCUUGUGUGUUGGGUCGUCGUCCCCCCCGGGGGACGGGCCCGAAAGGCAGCGGCGGCACCGUGUCCGGUCCUCGAGCGUAUGGGGCUUUGUCACCCGCUCGAUUAGGGCCGGCCGGGCGCCAGCCGACGUCUCCAACCAUUUUCUUCAGGUUGACCUCGGAUCAGGUAGGGAUACCCGCUGAACUUAAGCAUAUCAAUAAGCGGAGGA